UACGUAGGGAGCAAGCGUUGUCCGGAAUUAUUGGGCGUAAAGGGCUCGUAGGCGGUCUGUUGCGUCAGGAGUGAAAACUCGGGGCUUAACCCCGAGCCUGCUUCUGAUACGGGCAGACUAGAGGUAUGCAGGGGAGAACGGAAUUCCUGGUGUAGCGGUGAAAUGCGCAGAUAUCAGGAGGAACACCGGUGGCGAAGGCGGUUCUCUGGGCAUUACCUGACGCUGAGGAGCGAAAGUGUGGGGAGCGAACAGG
rnacentral:rRNA from 1 species